rnacentral:rRNA from 1 species
CUAAGGCUCCAGAGGAAGCCACGGCUAACUCUGUGCCAGCAGCCGCGGUAAUACAGAGGCGGCAAGCGUUGUUCGGAAUUAUUGGGCGUAAAGAGCACGUAGGCGGCCUUGCAAGUCAGUUGUGAAAGCCUUCCGCUUAACGGAAGAAUGCCAGCUGAUACUACAGGGCUUGAGUACGGGAGGGGAGAGUGGAACUUCUGGUGGAGCGGUGAAAUGCGUAGAUAUCAGAAGGAACGCCGGCGGCGAAAGCGACUCUCUGGCCCGAAACUGACGCUGAGUGUGCGAAAGCUAGGGGAGCAAACGGGAUUUGAUACCCCGGUAGUCCUUGCCGUAAA